GAUGAACGCUAGCUACAGGCUUAACACAUGCAAGUCGAGGGGUAACGAGAGGAAAGCUUGCUUUCCUUGUCGACGACCGGCGCACGGGUGAGUAACGCGUAUCCAACCUGCCCCCAACUAGGGAAUAACCUUGCGAAAGCAAGACUAAUACCCUAUAAUUUCCUCAGAUGACAUCUGACGAGGAAUAAAGAUUUAUCGGUUGUGGAUGGGGAUGCGUCUGAUUAGCUAGUUGGCGGGGUAACGGCCCACCAAGGCAACGAUCAGUAGGGGUUCUGAGAGGAAGGUCCCCCACAUUGGAACUGAGACACGGUCCAAACUCCUACGGGAGGCAGCAGUGAGGAAUAUUGGUCAAUGGGCGGAAGCCUGAACCAGCCAAGUAGCGUGCAGGAUGACGGCCCUAUGGGUUGUAAACUGCUUUUAUACAGGAAUAAAGUUAGCCACGUGUGGUUAUUUGUAGGUACUGUAUGAAUAAGGACCGGCUAAUUCCGUGCCAGCAGCCGCCGUAA
rnacentral:rRNA from 1 species